UACGUAGGGUGCAAGCGUUAAUCGGAAUUACUGGGCGUAAAGCGUGCGCAGGCGGUUUUGUAAGUCUGUCGUGAAAGCCCCGGGCUUAACCUGGGAAUUGCGAUGGAGACUGCAAGGCUUGAAUCUGGCAGAGGGGGGUAGAAUUCCACGUGUAGCAGUGAAAUGCGUAGAGAUGUGGAGGAACACCGAUGGCGAAGGCAGCCCCCUGGGUCAAGAUUGACGCUCAUGCACGAAAGCGUGGGGAGCGAACGGG
rnacentral:rRNA from 1 species